GACAGAGGGGGCAAGCGUUGCUCGGAAUCACUGGGCGUAAAGGGCGCGUAGGCGGGUCCGCAAGUCGAUCGUGAAAUCCUUCGGCUCAACUGAAGGGGGUCGGUCGAUACUGCCGUGCUUGAGGACUGGAGAGGAGACUGGAAUUUACGGUGUAGCAGUGAAAUGCGUAGAGAUCGUAAGGAAGACCAGUGGCGAAGGCGGGUCUCUGGACAGUUCCUGACACUGAGGCACGAAGGCCAGGGGAGCAAACGGG
rnacentral:rRNA from 1 species